AUGUAGGUGUAAACUGUGAUCCUCUUCCUUGAGUGAGAUGGAAAAAAAUUAAUUUGCCGCAUCAGUGUCCAUAUCUCAGGGUUGGUGGUAAAGGGAACUUGAGGAGAGUUAAGAAGUGAGACUGGAGAGAGCCCCAGGGGAAAACAUAGCACAGUUCUCAGGAACCGAAUUGACAGCAGAUCUGGGUAAGUUCAAAAACUCACAUCAUGUAGGAGGUCAAGACUUUAACAGCAGGAGGGGGAUUGAAAGUCCUAGAAAUAGAUACUGAAAUUUUUUUAACUGAAGAAAUUGAGAAGAAGAGAUAAAGGAACUUGAUCGUAGAGUCCCAGGGGGUCUAUUAACCCCUCACUCCAUGACACAAAAAGAUGCCC
rnacentral:lncRNA from 10 species